GUGGUUUAAUUCGAUGCAACGCGAAAACCUUACCCACCUUGACAUGUACGGAACCUUUAGAGAUAGAGGGUGCUCGAAAGAGAGCCGUAACACAGGUGCUGCAUGGCUGUCGUCAGCUCGUGUCGUGAGAUGUUGGGUUAAGUCCCGCAACGAGCGCAACCCUUGUCAUUAGUUGCCAGCAUUCAGUUGGGCACUCUAGAGGGACUGCCGGUGUCAAACCGGAGGAAGGUGGGAUGACGUCAAGUCCUCAUGGCCUUUAUGUCUAGGGCUACACACGUACUACAAUGGCCGGUACAAAGGGCAGCCACUCAGCGAUGAGGCGCUAAUCCCAUAAACGCCGGUCCUCAGUCGGAUCGCAGUCUGCAACUCGACUGCGUGAAGUUGGGAUCGCUAGUAAUCGUAGAUCAGCAUGCUACGGUGAAUACGUUCCCGGGCCUU
rnacentral:rRNA from 1 species